UACAGAGGGUGCAAGCGUUGUUCGGAAUUACUGGGCGUAAAGCGCGCGUAGGCGGCUUGGCAAGUCGGGUGUGAAAGCCCCGGGCUCAACCUGGGAAGUGCACUCGAAACUGCUUGGCUUGAGUACUGGAGAGGGAAGCGGAAUUCUCGGUGUAGAGGUGAAAUUCGUAGAUAUCGAGAGGAACACCGGUGGCGAAGGCGGCUUCCUGGACAGUUACUGACGCUGAGACGCGAAAGCGUGGGGAGCAAACAGG
rnacentral:rRNA from 1 species